rnacentral:misc_RNA from 1 species
GUGAAUCAUCGAAUUUUUGAACGCAAAUUGCACUCUCUUCGGAGAGUAUGCCUGUUUCAGGUUCAGCCUAAAAAAAAUCGACAUGGUUACUGUGUCGCGGUGCCAUUCGUCGGCAAUUGGGUCAUCUUAAACCUUUUGGUUUUAGGCGGCUUAAAAUUUUCUUUACGAGUCCACGAACGUUGCUAAGCUUUUAUUUUCUUAUACGUUUAAGGUAUC